UGGGGAAUAUUGCACAAUGGGGGAAACCCUGAUGCAGCCAUGCCGCGUGUGUGAAGAAGGCCUUCGGGUUGUAAAGCACUUUCAGUAGGGAGGAAGGGUUGAUGUCUAAUACGCAUCAGCAUUGACGUUACCUACAGAAGAAGCACCGGCUAACUCCGUGCCAGCAGCCGCGGUAAUACGGAGGGUGCAAGCGUUAAUCGGAAUAACUGGGCGUAAAGCGCACGCAGGCGGUUGGAUAAGGCAGAUGUGAAAUCCCCGGGCUCAACCUGGGAACUGCAUUUGAAACUGGCGGACUAGAGUCUUGUAGAGGGGGGUAGAAUUCCAGGUGUAGCGGUGAAAUGCGUAGAGAUCUGGAGGAAUACCGGUGGCGAAGGCGGCCCCCUGGACAAAGACUGACGCUCAGGUGCGAAAGCGUGGGGAGCAAACA
rnacentral:rRNA from 1 species